UGGAGAAGUUCCGACGCCGGUGA
rnacentral:siRNA from 1 species